GCUGCGACAAAAACAGAAUAAAAGCAGAAAACAUAAUGGGGAAGAAACAAAGUCCUAGAUACAAUGAAGACCAUCAUCCAAUGUCCACCAUCUGAGAAGAACUGCCAAAUCAGAUAGCGUUGAUGGACUGUAAACUGAAACGAGAGAAAAACAGAAUCGAACAGGAUGAUUAUCCAAUGAAAUGUACUCUGAAUAAACAUGUAGGUACCCAAUGUAGUAACCAAAAUUACCUUAAUAUGUAGAUAUCCCAACCCUACUUAUGAAAACAGACAUAAGAAACAAGUGACAGGUAGCAGAGACAACAAGCAGAGUUGCAUAUGUACCUGAUUAAUCCAAACUAUUAAAAUUAAACAAGGGAUGGGUAAGAAUGGGUGGGAAAUACUCGCCUCCUGUCAUUAAUAAAAUUAAGAUUAUAGGUACACUAAAGCUAGCAUAAUCUACAAUUUUAUAACAUGACAGGAGGCUUCGUAUUUGCUGUUUUAACCCUUAAAACCGGAGGACGUACAAUUACGCCCUCUAAUAGGCGGCUCUAAACGCCGCCGGGCGUAAUUGUACGCCCUCCGGUUUUUGUUAACUUACCCGGUCGCCGGCGGUCCCACGCCGGCGAUCGCGGUUGGGGGGACUCCCAGGGAGCCCCCCGCGGCACAUCCGUCCUCGUUGAAGCCCCCCGGCCAUGUGAGAGUGGGGUCCUAGCGAGGACCCCACAAUCAUAUGGCCGGGUAUAGCUGGCUUCUGUAUUGCCGGCAGGGGGGCUGCCUGUAAUGACAGGUGGUCCCCCUGCUGGCUGAAAAUAAAAGUAAAAUAAGUUAAUGGUGUAAAAAAAAAUUAUUAUAUAUACUUAGAUCAUAUAUAUAUAUUAUAUAUAUAUGAUCUAAGUAUAUAUAUACACAUAUACAUACACACACAUACACCGUCUAGGUGUAUUUUACUAUUAAUAUAUAUAUAAUUAUAUAUAUAUAUUAAUAUCAAAUUACACGUAGACUGAUACUGAUUAAAUAUAUAUAUAAUUAUUGUUAUAUAUAUAUUUAUAUAUAUUAUAAAAAAAAUUAAAAUGUAAAUACGUUAAAAAAUAAAAUUACAAAAAUAAUUAAAAAUAAAUAAUUAGAAAAUAUAUAGAUGUGUGUUAUUUCGUUCUAACUGUUUUGUGAAAUUAAUAUAUAUAUAUAUAUAUCAAAAUACACGUAGAACUAAAUAAUAUAUAUAUCUAUAUACAUAAAUAUAUACGUAUAUAUCACUAUAUAUAUACCUAUAUAUAAAUAAAAAUAUUUUUAAAAAAUUAUAUAGAUAUAUACAUAUAUAUACACAUACGUAUAUAUAUACAUAUAUUAAUUCUACAUAUAUAUUUAUGUAAUAUUUUUACAUAAUUAGGUAUCUUAAUUAAUUACAAUUAGCAGGACCUGCCUGACAACCCAUGCCGAAAGUAAAGGGAAUUUAAUUUGCUAGCACUAUAUUUAACCCUAUAACUUUCCAAGACACCAUAAAACCUGUACAUGGGGGGUACUGUUCUACUCGGGAGACUUCGCUGAACACAAAUAUUAGUGUUUCAAAACAGUAAAAUGUAUUACAACGAUGAUAUCGCCAGUAAAAGUGAAGUUUUUUGCAUUUUUCACGCACAAACAGCACUUACACGGACGAUAUUAUUGCUGCGAUACUUUUACUGUUUUGAAACACAAAUAUUUGUGUUCAGCGAAGUCUCCCGAGUACAACAGUACCCCUCAUGUACAGGUUUUAUGGUGUUUUCAAAAGUUACAGCGUCAAAUAUAAGGCUUGUGUUUCAUUUUUUUCACAUUAAAAUUCGCCAGAUUGGUUACGUUGCCUUUGAGACCCUAUGGUAGCCCAAGAAUGAAAAUUACCCCUAUGAUGGCAUACCAUUUGCAAUAGUAGACAACCCAAGGUAUUGCAAACGGGGUAUGUCCAGUCUUUUUUAGUAGCCACUUAGUCACAAACACUGGCCAAAAUUGGCGUUUUUUGCAUUUUUCACACACAAACAAAUACUAACGCUAACUUUGGCCAGUGUUUGUGACCAAAUGGCUACUAAAAAAGACUGGACAUACCCCAUUUGCAAUACCUUGGGUUGUCUACUAUUGCAAAUGGUAUGCCAUUAUGGGUGUAAAUUUCAUUCCUGGGCUACUAUAAAGUCCAAAGGCAACGUAACCAAUCUGGCGAAUUUCAAUUUCAAAAUGUAACGUGCUAUAUUUGACCCUGUAACUUCCCAAAACGCCAUAAAACCUGUACAUAGGGGGUACUGUCUUACACGUGAGACUUUACUAAAUACAAAUAUGUGUAUUUUAUUGCAGUAAAAUCAAACAGUAUUAUGACACUGACCUUUAAAAUGCAAUUUAGAACUAAAAAAAUCAAAAAAAUCGUAUUUUCUCCCAUUUUUUUCAUAUUAAAUUAUGUUUCAUAGCUAAAUAUUUGAUAUUAAAUGAAAGCCCUGUUUCCCCUGAAUAAAAUGAUAUAUAAUAAGGGUGGGUGCAUUUACUAUGAAAGAGGUGUAUUACGGUUGGACAGACAUGUAGCGCAAAUGCCAGGUUUUGUUUACAUUUUGUUUUGUUCACAAUGUGUACAUUUGGCUCCGUCCUUAAGGGGUUAACGCUCAGUCAACAAAUCCAACGCUGUUUGUUUCACUGGUACCAAGGAGACAUCUGACUGCUAUUUUGGGGUCAAGAAGGAAUUUUUUCCUAGUUUGUGGCAAAAUUGGAAGCGCUUCAGACCAGGUUUUUUGCCUUCUUUUGGAUCAACAGCAACGACAUUUGUGAGGAAGGCUGAAUUUGAUGGACGCAAGUCUCUUUUCAGCUAUGUAACUAUGUAACUAUGUAAUAUUCCGGGGGAUAUCAGAGCAAUCCUAAAUGGACUUUCCAACUGCGAUAAAUGACAGUAGUCGUAUCGAUGAAGAUGUCCGUUGACGAAGCAUCCCAAAUACAGAAAAAACACCAUCCGCUGAUAGAUCCAUUGUACGUGGGGCUGCGACCUGUUUCCUAGCAGUCGGUCCAUGAGCUGCCAAGCUGACCUAUUAGCCAAUUUCCUGUAGUUGUAAAAUGUCGAAGGUCAUUUGCAGACUUAGGGCUGCGAGAAGAAACCGCCACCAUGUUUCAACUCUUGAUGUGUAAGGUGGCUCCUCCGAUCGUGCCAAGGUCAUCCAGCGAUGUGGCCUUGCAGGUAGAUCUCCAGUCUCAAGGAAUGCGCCACCACCAAUUCCGUAAUAGAACUGAGUAGGAUCUUUCGUUCCCUCCUGGCCUACCCGGUGAGAUGUCUCAUCCGAGAAUUAAUUUAUUAUGCAGGUAAGAGUGUGGUCAAACUAGCUGUAUCCUAAGUGAUUCCAGUAUUCCAAAUGGACUGUGUAAUCCUCGGCUGCGGUAGAGAAAAGACUCCAAAAGGACGUCCAAUCAGGGUCCCCAACUAAACUUGUGUGGUGGAACGGUGGUCGACUAUUCUGGGAAUAGUGGAUCCCAGAAAUAUUCAAUGGGAUGGGAAAUGUAAACCGGAGUUGAGAAUUCCAUCCAGAUAGGUCAUCGUCUAAGAGUGAUAAGAUGUACGGAUCCAAUGGUGAUUGGGACCUGUAUAACCACGAAGAGUCCUCACAUGCUGUAGCCAGAGAGAAAAACAAUCAUCCUGUUCCAUGCCUGACCUGCCAAAAUUUUUGUAGAGGUUCCUGGUCUACACACCACCUACAAGAUAGGGUAUAAUAUAGUGAGACCCCCAGGUCCCUGUACCCCGAUUGGCACGUAUGACCCAGGGAUGUGAGUUCGAUAACCGAAGUCAAGGUCUCCCUAUAGAGGGAUACCUCCCUUCUUAGCUUGGAACACAUAGCAUUCUUAGCGAACACAUAGCAUUCUCCAAUACGCAGGCAAGGCGUAAAUUCUCUUCGCUCAUGACUGGUGACUCCAGCGAGCUGAUAUAACAAAAAAACAAGGGUCUAGCUUCAACCAUGCGAAUCGUGUGUUGUCCCCUUUGAAAAUGUUGGUAGUCCUAUCUGAAUCUGCUACACAUUCUGAGCCGUACUCCAGUGGUAGGUUGCGACCUGACUUUGACAUACAUAGCGAGAACCCAAAACGGCUCCCAUGAGGAUAUAGAGUAUAGACGGAGGGCCCUCCAUCUCCGAACCAUGUUCUCCAGACUGCCCUCAGAGGAGUAGGGGCAGUCCUGUCAACUUAUCCCAAGAUUGUCAUGACCAGGGAAAUCAAGUCAACCGGGGUUUCCAGUCUUUCCGUGCAAUCCAUGCAUACGGUGUUCCUGAAGACUGGGUAGCGGGCCUUCCCUAGUCUUGUUACCUGAGCCAGGCAGUGCCCGUUUGCUCCAUGAAGGUCUCAGUAACUCAUGCCAUCUUGAUAUGGGAAGAACUGUCUGCGCAGUUUGUUCGCAAUGGUCCGGAUAUCUAAAACAGAAUGCAAUUGUCUGUUUUAUAUAGCGCACAAUAUACUAAAACCUGCACUCUUGUAAUACCUGAGGCUCAACCGUCAGCCGUACCAUCUCCAGGAGUGUGUGUAAAUAAGCGGGAGUCUCCCCCGUUAUACCUCUGUGAGUAUUUCUCGCAUGUGGUACCGUAGCUCUAUUAGAGGAGGUGAAAAAGAGGGAUCCAGUCUAAAUAUGUACAUCCUGCAUGAUCAGGCAGUCCUCAAUAACGAAAUCGGUAGUACGGUCGUUAGGUCUAAUUGAAUGCAGGAGGGGCGCCCCUCUAUGCAGUCAUCGUUGUCCUACACAGGUACAAGCCUGUGUGAUGAACAAAUGGACGGCACCGUAGUGCGUUGAGUGUAUGAGAGAUCCGCACCCUCUAAUAAGGUGACCAAACUCCAAACUCCGUGUCAGCGUCCGGCUGAUAGUCUGAGCGGGCCGCACCCGUUAAUAACCAAAUAGUAGAGUCUACAUCCAUGACCGGUUCCCUCUACGAGAAUGUGUCACUCAAAACAUGUCCUCUGUAUCCAACUCAGUAUCGGGUUGAGGGAGGGCUGUGCCCUUUAAUAACGAAUCAGUGUCCAGUUCCUUCGCUCUCUGUACGUGAAAAUAAAAAAUAUCAUUCUCGGAUCGAGGUGAUGGAGGGCCGCACCCCCUUGUAAUCCAAACUACAGUCCCUUGGAGACUCAGGGUGACCAACUGCAGGGGUACAUCAUUUACUAAUAUCAACAUAAGACUGAGAUCCCAAGGUGGGUCUCUCUCUGACCCCUAGACCUCUCUCUGAAUCGCUCACCUGAGAGGGAAUCAACUGUUAAUAAACCAAACCGAUGGAGGAUGGAAUAGUAUAAAACCUCGGGCCGUGUCCAUCCUUAAUAACAGAAAGGGAUGGUGAGAGCAUGCAACCUUCAGAAACAAUGAUGGAAACUACCAAAUGACCACCCGGUUCCUGUGCACGCGCGCGGGGUCCAGGAUGACCGACGGUAGCCUGAGGAAAGCUGGAGACGUUCUCCGCAAUCCACGAGAGCCCGAGAGGUCAGAGGAGGUCAAGACAGGCCUCUCGACUACCUGAGCCAUAGGACAAUAGGAAGGCUCGAAAACCAAGAAACGACUAAUAAUGUAGAUAACGGUAAAUACAUGCCUCGGAGAGAAGGUAAAUAGCAGAUCGGAACAGCAAGCCAAGUAAACCCAACUGAAAGGGUCAGGGGCUAAACCUGACAUAGGACUAACUACUAAUACCCAGGGCCAGAUUAAGAACCCAGUGGGCCUGGUGCUGACAAUUAUGACAGGCCUAAUUACAGAAUCAUAUCAACCAAAAACAGUAAAACACUCCCAAGCGUCAUGUAUCUGAUGGAGAUGGUGCGGGAGAGAAAGAAAACAGCAGCUAUAAGAAAACACAUACCAUAGGCUAAUAUCUCUCUAAUUUAUGUUUUAUUCUUUCAAGUAAAUCCAUGACCCCUAACAGCAGUGUCCAGUCAAGCAGGAAGUCAAUAGGCGGGGUAAAAGGGUGUGCCACUGACACAAAUCACGUAACCUGCCAAAAGGGGCAAACAUGCCAAAAAAGAGGAUAUGUCUGCUCAAAGAAUUAGAAGGCCAGCCUGGUAUGAAUGCAUGUCAGGCUGCCUGCCAAUCAUGCAGCUGGCCAACUAAGCGCAUACUAUGCAGACAGCACCCUGAGCUUGGCAUAAAUGCAUCUAAUGAUGCGCUCGCUCAACGCUUUCUAAGGACUGUCCCCUAGCACUUGCUGGUCCACUUGUCUCCUUACCUUCUUACUAGCAGGCAGAAGCUCCUGGUAUAUAGUUUGGGAAAGAGAAAAGCCGUAUGUAGUGAGUGUAGAAGAAAAGGAACAUGCCACAGUGUUAGAGAGACCAAAGUCAGCAUUACCUUAAAGGAUCACUAUAGGGUCAGGAACACAAACAUGAAUUCAUGACCCUAUAGUAUUAAAACCACCAUCUAGCCCCCCUGGGUCCCUCAUGGCUCCAUAAAUAUAGCAAAAUCUCACUGCAUUCAAGCCUGAAGCUGUAACUCUGCAUGCUGUUAGACUCAGAAAAACCAGCAGUCUGUUGACAUUAUUAGAAGUGGUGGCCUAAUCCAAUCACAGUGCUUCCCCAUAGGAUUGGCUGAGACUGACAAAGAGGCAGAUCAGGGGCAGAGCCAGCAUGAUUCAAACACAGCCCUGGCCAAUCAGCAUCUCCUCAUAGAGAUGAAUUGAAUCAAUGAAUCUCUAUGAGGAAAGUUCAGUGUCUGCAUGCAGAGGGAGGAGACACUGAAUGUUUGGAUGCAUUUUAGGCAGCCAUGACCCAGGAAGGAUCUCUAACAGCCAUCUAAGGAGUGGCCAGUGAAAUUAUCACUAGGCUGUAAUGUAAAGACUGUAUUUUCUCUGAAAAGACAGUGUUUACAGCGAAAAGCCUGACAGUAAUGAUUCUACUCACCAGAACAAAUUUAAUAAGCUGUAGUUGUUCUGGUGACUCUAGUAUCCCUUUAACUAUAUUCAUUGUCAGCCAGUCCACACAAGUUUUGUUCCCUUACAUCCCUCUUAAGUUUCCAUUCUUAAGUAAGAGUAUGUGAAAAGUAGUUAGGGUUGCCACCUUUCUUGGAAAAACAUACCAGCCUUACUAAUUUGCAUAAUUAAAUAUGUAUGGAUGACAUCGCAUGAGUGACAUAAGAGAAAAUGCUCUAAAAUCACCAAAAAACUACUUAGUUUGAUUCUGCUGUAUAGAUGGAUUCCUCCCAGUGCCCCCAUGUGUCGAUUACUCCAGGUCUCAGUGUUCCUAUGUAUCAGUGUCUCAGUGCCCCAUGACUCCCAGUGUCCCCUAGUGUCGUGUCCCCAGGUCUCCCAGUGAUCCUAUGUAUCACAGUGUCUCAAUGCCCUAUGUAUCCCUGUGUCCCCAUGUAUCCCAGGGCCCCCAUGUCACUAGGAAGACGGGAAGACCUGGGGACACGGGGAGACCCAGGGACACGAAGACACCAGUGACAUUGGGAGACUAGGGGACUCUGGCUGGGACGCAUGGGGACACUGGGAAAAUAGGGGAGACUUGAAGACAUGGGGACACAGAUACCAUGGACACAGACACUAGAGACACUUACUCAGGGACAUGGGGACAUUGAGACAUGGGGACAAGGAGACACCAGGGCCUCAGACACUAGGGACACAAGCUUGGAGACAUGGGGACAUUGAGACACGUGAGGCACUGGGAGACAUGGAGGCACUGGGAGACAUGGGGACGGUGAGACACUGGCAGACUGGAGGCACUGGGAGACUAGGGGGCACUGAGACACCAGGGACACUGGCUGGGAGACAUGGGGACACUGUGUCCCCAUGUGUCUGUGUCAUAAUGUCUCCCAAUGUCCCUUAGUGUCUCAGUGUCCCCAUGUCUCCUUGCAGCCUUUCCCCCAUCCCUUACUUCCCUGAGCUGUAGGCUGUCUCUGCAGGGUGGGAGUUGCUGUCUGGACUCUCUGUAGCUGCAUCCCUGCAGAUCAGUGAGUAUAGAUAGGCAGGGAGGGAUAUGCUGGAACUUCCUAUCCCUGCCUGUCUCCACACACAGUGACCCCUACUGGCCAGUGCUGGUAUUGCAGAGUAAUUUCUUGUUUAUACUGAGAAAAAUACCAGCAUUUGUAUUGCCAGUAUCACUGUAAUAUUGGCCAGGCAGCCUCAAAUACUGGCUGUGCCAAUAAAAUAAAAGCCAGGUGGAAUCCCUAAGAUUAGUGUCUGAGAAAAAAAAAAUUUUUUUUUUUUUUUUUUUUUAAAUCAAUGGGCCUAUUCCAUGGGCCUGGGCCUGGAGCUGCAGCUCCAUCAGCCCCUAUGUUAAUCCGGCCCUGCUAAUACCUAAGAUGGAUACCAGGAAGGAAGCUAAAUGGUUAGUUGCUGAAGGCAAGGCAACCGUGCUCUCCUGUUGGCAUCUGUUGCAUUGCUCCCUGCUUGUGCAAAAUUCUCUUUGGAGAGGUGCCGCCACCGGGUUGGUGCAAACCAUGGUGGUGCGCCUGGGGAUCCUCAAAAGAAAACCUCGCCCUUCAGGGCAAUCAUAUUGAGGUGCCGUAUACUGGUGUCCUCUUGGAUAGUAAAGCAGCAGUGCUUGCCUGGGUACCCACCUAUGUCCAUGUCAAAAGUGGGUACUUGGCUCUCCUCAGUGAUAUCCUCCCAGGCCCGCAGCCAAAAGGGGUUUUGGGCCCAGAUAGCUCAGACCGAACAAAGGGCACAGAUAGAGCAGGCCUGUUAUAAGGGCAUUGACAUAGCAGGUCAAUCAAAUGGGCACAGACAUAAACUAAUAACACACAAAGAAUGAAAUGUUACCAUGUUUUUAUUGAACACACCAUGUAAACAUUCACAGUGCAGGUGGAAAAAGUAUGUGAACCCUUGGAUUUAAUAACUGGUUGAACCUCCUUUGGCAGCAAUAACUUCAACCAAAUAUUUCCUGUAGUUGCAGAUCAGACGUGCACAAUGGUCAGGAGUAAUUCUUGACAAUUCCUCUUUACAGAACUGUUUCAGUUCAGCAAUAUUCUUGGGAUGUCUGGUGUGAAUCGCUUUCUUGAGGUCAUGGCACAGCAUCUCAAUCGGGUUGAGGUCAGGACUCUGAUUUUCUUCUGUUUAAGCCAUUCUGUUGUUGAUUUACUUCUAUGCUUUGGGUCAUUGUCCUGUUGCAACACCCAUCUUUUGUUGAGCUUCAGCUGGUAGACAGAUGGCCUUAAGUUCUCCUGCAAAAUGUCUUUAUAAACUUGGGAAUUCAUUUUUCCUUCGAUGAUAGCAAUCCGUCCAGGCCCUGACGCAGCAAAGCAGCCCCAAACCACGAUGCCCCCACCACCAUACUUCACAGUUGGGAUGAGGUUUUGAUGUUGGUGUGCUGUGCCUUUUUUUCGUCACACAUAGUCUUCCAAACAACUCAACUUUGGUUUCAUCUGUCCACAUAAUAUUUUGCCAGUACUGCUGUGGAACAUCCAGGUGCUCUUGUGCAAACUGUAAACAUGCAGCAAUGUUUUGUUUGGACAGCAGUGGCUUCCUCUGUGGUAUCCUCCCAUGAAAUCCAUUCUUGUUUAGUGUGUUACGUAUUGUAGAUUCGCUAACAGGGAUGUUAGCAUCUGCCAGUGACUUUCGUAAGUCUUUAGCUGACGCUCUAGGAUUCUUCUUCACCUCAUUGAGCAGUCUGCACUGUGCUCUUGCAGUCAUCUUUACAGGAUGGCCACUCCUAGGGAGAGUAGCAGCAGUGCUGAACUUUCUCCAUUUAUAGACAAUUUGUCUUACCGUGGACUGAUGAACAGCAAGGCUUUUGGAGAUACUUUUAUAACCCUUUCCAGCUUUAUGCAAGUCAACAAUUCUUAAUCAUAGAUCUUCUGAGAGCUCUUUUGUGCGAGGCAUCAUUCACAUCAGGCAAUGCUUCUUGUGAAAAGCAAACCCAGAACUGGUGUGUGUUUUUUAUAGGGCAGGGCAGCUGUAACCAACACCUCCAAUCUCAUCUCAUUGAUUGGACUCCAGUUGGCUGACAUCUCACUCCAAUUAGCUCUUGGAGAUGUCAUUAGUCUAGGGGUUCACAUACUUUUUCCACCUGCACUGUGAAUGUUUACAUGGUGUGUUCAAUAAAAACAUGGCAACAUUUCAUUCUUUGUGUGUUAUUAGUUUAAGCAGACUGUGAUUGUCUAUUGUUGUGACUUAGAUGAUGAUCAGAUCACAUUUUAUGACCAAUUUGUGCAGAAAUCCAUAUCAUUCCAAAGGGUUCACAUACUUUUUCUUGCAACUGUAACUACCAGGGGUCUUGACCAGUGCCCUCUGUAGUCCAUCCAGCCAUAGUAGCAGAUGUUUUAGAGGGUGAAACUCUCUAGAAAAGUACUGAAAAUGGCCUGGACCUCCAGGCAAAAUUAGAUCAUGCAUCUCUUGCAGAUAAAUGCUGGUGUAGAUGUACUGUGUAUUCAAUUGUAUGUGCAUGUAAAAUGAAUGUAUGUUUCUGUGUUUGACAUGUGUGCCCUGGUGUAUGUGAUUAUAUGUAUGUCUUUGUGUGUAGUGUCCAGAUGUUUUAAUUCAGAGUAUAUUUAAAUACAUGAUUUUUUUUUUUUAAAGUAGGGAUGAGUUUUUUUUUAUAAUUAUUUAUUUUGGAUGUGCAUGACAGAUAUAAGAUGGACAAAAGACAUUUGUAUAUUAUUCAUGUCAGAUAUAGCUUAGGCAUGUCUCGCAAUGUUCACAUUUUAAUUUUUUUUCAACAUUGAACAAUGGUAUACAAGGCUAACAUGCAGUGGCGUACACAUGACCCAUCGGGCCCCGGUGCGAAAAUUGAUCCGUGGGCCCCCCCCCCGCGCUUACUCGGCGCUGGUCGGGGCCGCAACACAUGGCGGCCCCGCGACCGCGGUAUGCACACACACUUAAAGGACCACUACAGACACCCAGAUCACAUCAGCUCAAUUAAGUGGUCUGUGUGCCAGGUCCCUCUAGUUUUAACCCUGCAGCUGAAAACAUAGCAGUUUCAGAGAAAUGGCUAUGUUUCACUGAGGGUUAAUCCAGCCUCUUGUGGCUGUCUCAUUGACAGUUGCGAGAGGAGCUUCCGCGAUUCUCACUGUGAAAAUCACAGUGAGAAGACACUGAACGUCCAUAGGAAAGCAUUGAGUAAUGCUUUCCUAUGGGCGGUUUAAAUGCGCGCGCGCGCGCCUCUUGCCGCGCAUGUGCAUUCGGAGCUGAGAGGCAGAGGGAUCCCCAGCACCAAGGGAGUCCGACGCUGGAGAAAGGUAAAUGCUGACACACGCAUACACGCUAGCUAACAGACACACACAUUUACUGACAUACAUACACACUCACUUACAAAACAUACACUUUCACUGACAAACACACACUCACUAACAGACAUCAAACACACACAGUAACAGACACACACUGUAACACAUUCACUAGCAGACACACACCCAAUAACAGACACACUCACUGACACACACUCACACACACACACACUAACACACAAACACACAUUUUUUUUUUAAAUGUAAUCCCCCCAGCCUCCUUACCUUUUGGAGUGCUGGGGGGAUUCCCUGGGGUACAGUGGUGCUGCCGGGCUCCUGGGCGGGUGGCCGGUCGUGCAGGCGGGCGCGCGAGGGAGCACUCAGUGCUUCCUCGUCAGCUCCCUCGCACGCCGCGUAGGGAUGCUGGCGCCGGAAGAUGACAUCAUCUUCUGGCUCCGGUAUCAGUGCGGUGCGCGAGGGAGCUGAAGAGGAACCACUGAGUGCUCCCUCGCGCGCCCGCCUGCCCGACCGGCCACCCACCUGCCGGGUGACAGCAGGGCCAGCCUCGGGGGGCCCUGGGGUGGCCGGCUCCUGGGCCCCUCAGGGGAAGAGGCUGGCCCUGUGGCUACAUACCGGGUCGCAGGGGCGGCCGGGCCCCCUGGUGGGCCGGGCCCGGUCGCAGCCGCGACCCCUGCGACCCUGGUAUGUACGCCACUGCUAACAUGUUAGAAGUUAUGUAGACAAAUAUGCAGGAGUCUUGUAACAAAGAAAAACAUUGUGUGAUUAUGGAUGUCAUGUGUGUGGUUCAUGGAGGUGAGGUAAGUGACACGGAUCAGCUUAUGUAGUGGUGUUGGUUCCCAGUUUGGGUUGUGGUUUUUCAGUGUGGUCUGUGCGCGUGAGCUGUUUUGUCCUUUCCGGGUGCUAACUAUAGGGUCAGCAGAGUCUGGGAAUGGAGUUUGUUGUUGGUAGCGGAAGCUGGUAUGUGUGGUACCCCUAACCAAGGGGGUAGCGGUGGAAGGGGGGAUGUGGCCCCAUUGACUCUCUGGUGUUGUGUCCAGUGUGUUGUCUGGGGCGUGAUUUGCUCAUAGUUAGGAUAAGGGUGUUAAGCUGCUAUAAAUGAUAAGUUGUGUAAACAUAGAUAAAAGUUACAGUAAAUGUAAAGGUAAAAGGUAGUUCUAGUAACUGCAUUGUGUCCUGGUGUGUCCUGGUGUGUCCUGGUGCGAGGUUUCCCUCGUGUAUCAGUGUCCUCUCUGGGUGGCUCAAGGCCGGAGCCUUCUGAAGUGGGCUAGGUUGUGGAGCCAUAGGUGUCUGUUUGCUCCGUCACUGCACAGGUGGUGGUGUCCCUCUCGUGCGUGGGACAAAGGUGAUGGUGGCUGGGUCUCUGGCACUCUCAGGUAGCGCCCAGUUGUCAGCUGGUAUGGGUAGUCCUAAUUUUCCCAGGAAAGAAGUUGCGUCGGCCAUGGUGUGGAGGACGUGCGUAGUACCUUCUUUCGUGACUGUUAAAGAGUUGUCGGUUCCCCAUCUGUAUGGCAGUCCUGCCGUGCAUAGUUGGGAAGUUACCGGUGCGUAGGUUUUCCUCCACAGCAGCGUUGCCUUUGUAAGAUCCUGGAUAAAGUUCAAGGUGGCAUUUUCAAAUGGGAGAGGGGUUUUGCCCUUCACAGCUGUCAUGACAUGUAUUUUGUCUUGUACUGAGUGGAAGCGCAGGAUGACAUCCCGGUUCAGGUUGGUAUUAGUGUUGGUUAUAUUGGGGAUGCGAUAUAGACUGUCGACUGUGAUUUUGCAGGGCCAGCAUGGGAGGUAAUAUCAAGAGGUCAGGAGGCGUCGGGUGUAGUGGGGCAGUUCCUCCGCGGAUAUUGCUGCAGGGAUACCUCUUAUUUUGAUAUUUGCGCGGCGUUGUCUAUACUCCAUGGUUAUGAGGUUUGCGUUCAGGGUAGUCUGGUGCGCUUGUAAUUGGUGGAUAGAGCCCUGCAUGGUUUGCAUGGUAGAUAGAGUGUCCACUAUAACCUCCUCUGUGGCCUUGACUCUCUCUGUUACGGCCUGUAGCUGUGUUUUAAAUACAGCUGAAUCUGCAGCCAGGAGCUUGUGAAUAUCAGCUAAUAGGACCUUCAGGACUCCCCUAGUUGUUGGGGCUGAAUCAUCCAAAGCGUCCGCUGGCGCGGUUCUUACCAUCGGGUGUUGUUGUGGUACCUCCAUAUCAUGGCGGUCCGGUUCUGGUUCUAUUUCCGGUUGGUCUCCGGCCAGGGUUUGUUUGUCCCUGGUAUCUGUGAGUUACUGCCCAUGGUGAGUGUGUCAAGCGAUGUGUGUGAUGGGGUCGCCCUCGGCUGCUCCACGAGGUCACCGCAGAAGAGUGAUGCGAGGCUGGGUAUCUGGAGAGGGUGGUAGGCCUUGAUUUUGCGUCACCGCUUAGGCUAUUUUUGCGGCUGGAAGAAGGGCAUCUACGGUUUCAGCUCGGGCAGCAGAGUCCGAUUUUGUGAGUUUUGAGGCUGGAUGGGCUCUUGUUUCGAUGAUAUUGGGCAGAUUUCAAGUUUGUUUAGAGGAGCUCCAGCAAAUGGCGUCUGUCUCAGUCUGCGUGCUAGCCCCGCCCCCUCAGGGAUGAAUUUUUAUGUGGGUUUGUGUAGCAUGGCAGUAUGUAUAAGUUAAUAUUUGUAAAUUAUGCAAUGAGUUUGUAUGAGGUGUGCAGGCCUCCAAAUUGUGAGUCGUGAAUUACUAACCAGUUGUUAAAAGUUACAAGCCACCUUAAAUGCUUGUGCGUGUUUUUUUAAUUAAUUCAACUAUGUCCACGACAUCAGUGUGUUAUGCAGGGACAUGUUUGUAUUGAGGGUCUCUAUGUGUGUGUGUAUAUUCAAGGCCAUAUGUGCAUGUAUGUUGUGUGUGUGAGGGUGAAUGUGCUUGAAUGCACUUUUAUAUGAAGUGGCUCUGUCUGUGUGAUUGAAAUGGUGUUCCUACACCCACACUGUCUGUAGACUAUUACAAACUCCAGUAGAUAGUCCAUUCUACUCCUUUGCUCCCCAUAGGUAGCAACUUAUUCUUGGUCCCUUGUAACUUAUAGCCCGUUUUCUUCCCCUCACAGUAAAUAGUCUCUUGUCCUUCUUUCCCUCAUAGCUGUAGUAGCCCAUUCACCACCUCUCCCCAUAGCUUGUAGCCGUUCAGACCACCUCCAUCAAAUUCAGCCUUUCUCACAUACAUUUGUGUUGUUGAUCGAAAAGAAGGCAAAAAAAAGUUUGAAGUGCUUACAAUUUUGCAACAAACUAGGAAAUAUUCCUUUUUGACCACAGAUUGGCAGUCAGAUCUCUUUAGAUCAAGAAGUUUUUACCCAACUAAAUAAAAUUUUUAUCCCUAAAUAUUAUGUUAUAUUUAUAUAUAUGAAGCAAAGCUUGAAAAUAUCCAGAGUCGUUUCAUGUAGUUAAACCAUAAGAGGCAGUCUAAACACUGCAAUAUAAACAUUGCAGUUUCUCUGCAAGUGAGGGUUAAGGGGACAGGGACUCUGCACCCUGACUACUUCAAUGAGAUGAAAUGGUCUAGGUGACUAUAGUGUCCCUUUAAAGUACGCAUCUUUAUUAUCAUGAAAGAAUGAGGGAGGUAGAGAAAUAUCACUCUGAAAUCUACAAUAUGUUUAUGAGCUAAUUACGGCUAAUUUCUGUGUUAGAGAACACUCAAGAAGUUUCUUGGAGAAGUAGUUGACAUGACUCAUUAGCAGACCUUUAAUAGGUCAAAGUACUGGCCAAAGGAAAUAUAAGAGUGAUGAGUGCAAAACCCAGACUGAUGUCGAUCAAGCAGAUAGUUAGAUUCAAGUCUAGUCUACACUAGUCUUGAUCAGUCUAGUGUGUCUAGUGUAAACAACACUCCCAAUGUUCUUGGAGGCAAGUAGUAGAGAGAUAUGGCGCUAGUUGGAUUUGGAGUUCAGGUUAAGAUUGUAAAAAUUCCAUGAGCUUUUGCAUAUAAUCAUUGUUUCAGUCCAACUACCUUGACAUAUUAAGGAAAGUCUGAUAAUGGGACUGAAAUGGUGAAUGUAUGAUGUUGCACAAAUAUUAUGUUAGCUUAUUUAUUUUGAAGUCUUAUGAGUGUGCUCUUCACUUAUACACUGCCUGGCCAAAAUAAAAGUCAACACCUGGAUUUAACUAAGCAAAUAGGUAAGAUCCUACUAUUGGAUAGUUACUGCAUGGGCGAUUAUCUUUUAGCUGGCAACAAGUUAUUUAACCCCAACUGAUGCAAUGAGUAGCUUCUUAUUUCUUAAACAACCAUGUCGAAAGACACACCCCGUGGUCGUGGAAAAGAUGUUAGUCUGUUUGAGUAGGGUCAAAUCAUUGGCAUGCAUCAAGCGGAGAAAACAUCUAAGGAGAUUGCAGAAACUACUAAAAUUAGGUUAAGAACUGUCAUUAUUAAAAACUGGAAGGAUAGUGGGGAUUUAUCCUGUUCCUGAGUGAUGGAAGAUGAAGUAAUACACCCAUCAUGCCUCGUGCCAACUGUACAAGCCUGUGGGGCAGUGCUAUGAUCUGGGGUUGCUGCAGUUGGCCAGGUCCAGGUUCAGCAACAUUAUGUGCCCAAAGAAUGAUGUCAGCUGAUUUAUACUGAAUGACCAGUUUUUUUCUCCCCUAUUCCAAGAUGACAAUGCCAGGAUUCAUCUGGCUCAAAUUGUAAAAGAGUGGUUGUGACGAGACCAAUAUCGCCACUGUGCAUUGGAGGAGCCUGGUUGCCCACCUGCUGCCUUUAGACUAUGGCUCCAUGUUGAAACGCUUGAUUUUCCCCUGCGAAGACAUGAAAGCCGGGUCAUUCGGUGCUUGCCCUGUUUGAGCGGUGAUACCCCAGAUAGCUAUGCCAUGGAGCCCAUUCGUAUAAUGAAAGACUAUGGGAAAGACUUUGGCUCCAUGGCAAUUGAACUGUAUGUGUGUGCUCUGAGCGCCAUUCAGUAAUAAUGUGCGCUCAGAUCUGAGCUAUCUGGGGAUAUGUUGAAUGUACCUGUUUUGUGCAAUGGCUGCACAGUUAUAUGUUUUUAUGUGUUUUAUUGUCUUUUGCUGCCACGUGUUCAAUGGAGUUUUGCCUCUGUCCUUGGAGAUAAUUGGAUUACUUCCCAAUUAUCUCCAGGAUAGAAGACUCUGUGGAACUGGUUUUGGGUAGAAAAGCCAUGCUUCCUUUGGUCACAAAGGACCACGAUCUAUCUUUUGAACCACUGGACCAAUUUGGAUGAUUUUGACAUAUGUUUGUAUUUGGAGUAUGCUGAUUCUGAAAAUGUAAGAUUCACACAUUUUAUGUGAAUGUGAUGCAUACUUUUCAAGUUAUGAAUAAUGUGGAAAAAUUGUAUUUCUCUGCUUGUGAUAAUUACAUUACCCAUUGUGUAAGGUAAUUGUAUCACAGUCAGAGGGGAGGAUUUUGUGUGGGAGUGUCUGAGUGUAUUGUAUGUGUUUAUUGGUUGUGUUCCAAAACCCUGUGGGUGGUACUAAGGUGUAUAUAAGAACAAUAAACCCACAGCUCUGUCUGUUCCUGCUUGACCCUCAAAACGGAGCCUUGUCUCGUUCUUGGGGGGAUUUAUUGUAUGCUGUUCCAGUUUGACUGCUAGGAGUGUAAACCUAUUUGUAUGGUUUUUCCUAUUCGGCUGUUUACAGCAUUCAUAUGGUUUCCUGUUCAGCGGAUUGGUGUUCUGCAGUAGCUUUGCCUGUGUCUCUGGAAAGGAAGAUCUACUAAACGGCGGUUUAACCCCUUUAUGCCUGGGGGUGCCGUUACAGUGGUUCAGUGAGCAUGAGACAUCAUUUUCACACAUGGAUUGGCCACCACAUAGUCCAUACCUUAAGCCCAUUGAAAAUCUUUGGGAUGUGCUGGAGAAGGCUUUGCACAGUGGUCCGACUCUCCCAUCAUCAAUAAAAGAUCUUGGUGAAAAAUUAAUGCAACACUGGAUGGAAAUAAAUAUUGUGACAUUGCAGAAGCUUAUCGAAACAAUGCCACAGUGAAUGUGUGCCGUAAUCAAAGCUAAAGUCGGUCCAACAAAAUAUUAGAGUGUGACCUUUUUUUUGGUGGGGACUUUUUUUUUUGGCCAGGCAGUGUAUAUUAUUGUUCUGGAGUGUGCACCUGGCAACAAGAAUGGGCUGAUACAUGCUCAAAACAUAUGUUAUAUAGUAAUUAAAUUUUUGUAUGUAUUAUAAAUCUCCCUUUCUGGCCCACGCCUUGCUGUGUGAGAUCUCGCGCACAGACCCACUGGCACUGAAAUGGGUUAGGGGAGGGAGAGAGAAUCUGUGGGAGCUCUAGCCUGCAGCUCCACCGGGUCCUCUCCUUGCGAGCUCAGAGCGUUGCCACAGUUACCAUGGCAAUGCUCUGAUCUUGCGAGCCUCAGGGCUGUAACUGCAGGCUAGAGUUCUGCCACGAUUACUGUGUGACCCGAUAUGCAAAACUAUAUCAACACUAACAACGUAUAAAGGGACCUUAGAAUGACCAGACUGAACGUAAAAGAGAAUGGUCAAUUUUACAAGCCAAGGUCGGGGACACAGAAUGAGACAAUACGAAUAAACUAGCCAAGGGUCAGUAUACCAGAAGUAGGGAAAGUCAAAAACAAGCCAAAGUCAAAAGCCAGAAAAUAUAACCAAGAACGCGCUCUCUGACAACCAACAAGUGGAAACCACGACAGGGCACUGAGAAAAGGCAUAACAGGGUUUAAAUAUGACUCUCAGUGCUGUGAUUGGUUAUUACACGGCCUUUGACCCCAACACGUGCGUGUGCGUCGAUAACGUGACUUCACACGCAUGCCGGCGCCAUCUUUAAUGUGGGCAGCACGCCCUUUAACUUUAAGAAUGGGACCGCAGCGGACGGUGUCCCUUAGAAUGCUGCACCAGCCGGGACCCGUCUUUUUGAAGGAUCUGGCGGCACUCCGACGCGAUCCAGGUAAGUUAUAAUUCCCUUUUUCGGUGCGACCGCCCUGCCUAUGUGCGGCCGCGCCGAUCAUGGACUUACUUAUCUCUAGGGAUGUGCAUGGGCAAAAUAUUCGGUUCGGUUCGACAUUCCGAAAUUCAGGACUUCAGUUCAGCAUUCCGAAAUUCGGGACUUCGGUUCAGUUCGGGACUUCGACACUUCGGAUAUGUUCUCUUGCAGCCUCUUAGUAGAUAACUCCCUAAUUCCCAUGGUUUAGGGAGCUAUCUGCCAAAAGGUUGAAAGACCUAAAUUGGUCUUUCAGUCAAAUUUACUAAUACUAAGUAAAGCUUACUUAGUAUUAAAUAUACACGAAAAAGUGUGGAAUAAAUGGCGCUUAGUAUUAUGAAAUAGAAGAAGAUAUGGUACAGCUGCUGUAUACACUCUCUGGGUACUCCUAAUUGCCCACCACACAUAAACAAUCACCAAAACGCAAAAGAACUUAUUGAUUUGGAUGAUGUUGCCACCAUCCAGAUCUAAAGUUCUUUAAGUGAGUGCAGCGCUAUAUAAGUGCUGAGUAAGUGUGUUCUCGAAACUCUUACCCUUUUUCGCUUCUCUUAAUACAAUUCAUACAUAAAAAAGAGAACAAAAAGAACAUAUACAAAUGAUAGUGUAAUAUGUCUUUAAAUAAAGUGAUCGAUGAAAUAAGUGAAUAUGUACACUCUCAUUUGUUAGAGCCUUUUCUAGUAUUAGGCUCUAAACUUCUGCACGUCUGUGUCUUUUGGGUAGAACACACGACCCCUCUCUCCUUAUGAAGAUAUUCUCCACCGGGUAUAUAAAAGAUACAAAUAUUUCACACUAAGUGUAGCAUCCCAGAAUCGAAAUAUUGUCCAUAUGAGUAGAAAUAGAGAAAUGCUCACCUUUUUUAGAGCCCUUGGUAACCGGCUCUAAGUAUAUUUGCCCAGUGUCAAAUUUUGGGGUGACACUGCCCCUUUAAAUCACUUUUAUAGGAUACAAUGGAUGGAUAAAAAAUGGGAGCAAUUUAUUAUCAAGUAAUCUUAUAAAAAUACACUAUUAUUUCUAGAAAAUAAAAAACAAUAAAAAACAGUAUGAUAUAAAAGUAUGUGACCUUAAAAAUAUAUAUAUAUAUAUUAAAGUGAACCUAUAUAUAUAUAUUUUUAAGGUCACAUACUUUUAUAUCACCAAAUUUAGCACAGCUUGUAACACUAACGAGUCACAUGACACGGGGGAUGGGGAAAAUGGCUAAAUGGGCCCAAUUUGGACAUUUCCACUUAGGGGUGUACUCUUUUUUUGUUGCCAACGGUUUAGACAGUAAUGGCUGUGUGUUGAGUUAUUUUGAAGGGGACAGCAAAUUUACACUGUUAUACAGGCUUUACACUUACUACUUUACAUUGUAGCAGAGUGUCAUUUCUUCAGUGUUGUCACAUGAAAAUAUUUAAUGAAAUAUUUACAAAAAUGCAAGGGGUGUACUCACUUUUGUGAGAUACUGUAUUUCACUUAGAUUGGGAAUAAAGAGCAAUAAGGAUUUUAUUAAGAUACGGAGGCUCCUAUUAUGCUGCACUCUUUCUUUAUUUUCCCUCAGCAGCAAAGAAUUUUUUUUUCAAACAUAACCAGUAGUAACAGUAAACAGUCUGAGGUGGGUAUCUUCUUAGCAACAGGAACAGCCAAUCGGAUUCCGCUCUCUAGCAUAAUAGGCUCUGUCAACCAAUCCAAUGCCUCUUUCUUUGCUGCUCCCUCAGUUAAGUAACAUCAGGUCCCAUGGUUUCUUAACUGUGGGAUCGUUUAUUCUUUUACAUGUUAUAUUAUUGUAAUUUUCAGUUUUAGUGUUAUUUAAUACUAUUAUAUUAUCUGAAUUAAUUAACUAUCUGUGGGAAUAUUUUUCCUAUUUAAUAUUUUUCCUAUUUAAUUAUGUGCUUACAUAUCUGCCUGUUUUAACAGUUUUAUAUAUAUACUUCUUAUUAUUGUAUUUGCCCUUCUUGGUUCCCUUGACCCCCUGAGAGUACAAUUAACUGAGCUCAGGGACGUCUGCAGGAACCGCUGAUACCUGUCACGGCACUUUCGUGCCUUUUUCCUACCCGUUAUCCGUCCGACCGCCAUCUUACUGCAGUCGAGUGCGCGCGGUUUCCUCAGUGAACCCAUUCAUCUGUUUCCAUACUUAGGCUUAGAUACCCUCAUUCGGGUGUUUUUGCGCGAACGCUCUGGGAACCUUGCGUUCCCUUACACGAACCCCUCAUUAGGAAGUUUAGCUUGGAAUACAUUGGCACCUUAGCAAGGGGUUCAUCUACACGAAUUCUCCUGCUCCCUUCCCUUUCGGGAAUUUUGCCACUCGCGGCGGCCAUUUUUAUUGCCUUUCCCACGUCCUGAAGCUAGCACUGCCCCCCACAGACCGGAACUCGGAGUUGGGGGUUAGUGCUAGUGGCGGUCGGAUGGCUCUCUGUUUCUUCUCCUAUCAUUAAUGAUUAUCUGUGAGUAAUACUAAUUACUAAUAAUAGUAAUACUAAUAAUAUUAAUAAUAAUGUUAAUAAUAUUAAAUUUUGUUCUAUACUUUGAAUUUCCUUCUUUGGGUUACUCAACCCUCCUCCACAGGUUUUGUUCCCCACAGGUUUUUUAUUCUUUUAUUACUAGAAUAUAAUCCUGUCAGUCAAUAGCAUACUUGUUAUGCCUUCUGACAAAGAUGCUCCCACGCCCUCUUGGUCUAAUAACCCCAACCAAAGUGGUUUUAAGGCACCUUCAGGUGUGUCUGAUAAUGCAGCGGGUUCCCCCACUGAGCUUGAUACCUCUGCUGAUUUGCAGACCCUGAUAGAUAACACUAUGUCACAGGCUAUGACUAAAGCCCUUAUGUCGGCCAUGGGACUAAUGUCUGACUCGAUAUCACAGACGUUUACGCAUGCCCUGAUGCAGGCACAAAAAUCAGCUCAACCGACUCUUGCCCAGGGUAUUAAACACUGUAAAAGGGUAUACCAUAGAUUUCCUGUCCCUACCAGUACAAUACUCCCCACCGCGGGAAAUGUCUUUUUCCCUACAAGACAAAAUCCUUGUCACCAAGGAAGUCUCGGAUUUGAAACGCAAACAAGCCAUCUCAGAAAUCCCUAUGGCCACACCAGGCUAUGUGAGCAAACUGUUCCUGGUUGCCAAGAAAAAUGGAGGCGUCCGCCCAGUGAUCAAUUUGAAACAACUCAACACUUACGUCUCCUACAACCACUUCAAGAUGGAAGGAAUACAUUGCCUAAGAGAUCUUCUCCAACCAUCAGACUGGAUGGUGAAGUUAGAUCUAAAAGACGCUUAUCUUACAGUGCCGAUUACCCCGCAACACCAAGACUUCCUGCAAUUCAUAUGGCAAGGAAGUGGAGAUUCACUUGCCUCCCAUUCGGACUAUCCUCAGCCCCGUGGUGCUUCACCAAACUCAUGAAGCCCGUGAUAGCUCUAUUGCGGAGUCGAGGAGUACGUCUCAUAAUUUACCUGGACGACAUCCUCAUCAUGGGUCAGUCCAGCCAACUUGCCAAGACCCAUCUAAACUGGACUCAGACUCUAUUACAGAAAUUAGGCUUCCUCAUCAAUUGGGAAAAAUAAAUUUUGGCUCCCACACAACACAUAGACUCCAUCGUGGACUCCACGUUUCAGACCCUACAUCUUCCAAUGACGAAACUGAACAAUAUAAAAAAGGAAAUCAAAUGCACUCUGGCGACUCCCCAGCUUACCCUUAAACAGUUGGCGAGAGUGAUUGGUCUCCUGGCGGCCUCCAUACAAGCCAUCUUUCCGGGCCCUCUCCAUUACCGAGCAUUACAACGUCUACAAGCUUCCCACUUGAGAGACGGGGUCUCCUACACAGAUAUGAUCACUCGGAAGCGAAAGACGAACUAACAUGGUGGCUUUCCUAUAUGGAAGCCUGGAAUGGUCACGCCAUUUUCGGCACCACACCAGAUCUCGUAAUAGAAUCCGACACGAGUUUGCACGGUUGGGGUGCUCGCUGUGGAGACAUAUCUACAGGUGGCAGAUGGUCCGACAACGAAUCUACACUCCACAUCAAUUGCCUGGAACUCCUGGCAGGAUCCUUUGCUAUCCGCAGCUUCUCACCAACUCAAGCACAAUGCUCUAUCCUUCUGAAGAUUUUUGGCAGUUCUGCCUGACUCAGGGCAUUUCUGUCACAGCGGAAUAUAUUCCGGGGCUCUGCAACACCACGGCAGAUUGGUACUCACGACACCUCUGGGAUCCCAGCGAUUGGCAACUGGAUCCCAGGGUCUUCCGAGAUAUCCAGUCGUUAUGGGGCCCCAUGGACAAAGAUCUUUUCGCCUCCCGCUUGAAUACUCAACUUCCCAGAUUUUUCAGCUGGAGACCAGACCCAGCAGCACUGGCAACAGAUGCGUUCUCCCAAGAUUGGUCGUCCACAAGGAAUUAUGCCUUUCCACCGUUCGCACUGAUUCCCCCCUGCCUACUGCAGUUAUGACAACAGACGGGAACCCUGGUGUUUGUGGCAUCGUUAUGGCCCUCCCAACCAUGGUUUCCCCCACUCUUAGAGAUGACGAUAGACAUACCUCGCAUUCUCCCGCACUUCGAGUACCUGCUUCAGGACCCGGGCGGAUCUCCUCACCCCCUGGUACAACAAGGCCUACUGAAUCUAUCAGUGUGGCUAAUUUCAGGGGACCUUGGGCAAUCGAGGGAGUUUUGGAAUCAACUCUCCACCUUCUCGAGAGCGUUUGGGCGCCCGGCACGAGACAGGCUUAUAAGUCUUCAUGGAGCAGAUGUCGUGAUUGGUGCCUGGAACGAGAUUUGGAUCCCAUAUCAGUUCCUUUGACUGGAAUCCUCCAAUUCCUAACUUCAUUGUUUGAGGACGGCAAAGCCUAUCGUACAGUGAACCUGUACCGAUCGGCCAUUUCGGCUUCACACCAAGGGAUAGAUGGAGCCCCGAUAGGACGCCACCCGCUGAUAUGUAGACUCCUAUGUGGCAUCAAAUUUGCACGUCCCCCACUACCACGAUACUCGGUAUUAUGAGAUGUGUCCAUCAUCCUCAAUUUCCUCGAAUCAUGGCCAGACAACGCAUUCCUAUCCCUGAAACAACUGUCGGCCAAGUUGGUUAUACUCCUCUGCCUCAUAUCCUGGAAGAGGGUCUCCGAUGUCAGAGCCCUGGACAUUACCGCACACUCCUACACCCCGGAAGGGGUUACUUUCGAUAUAUCUCGCAGAACAAAGAAGUCAUCAAAGAAAGUGUCAUACCGCUUCUAUGCCCGGUCAAAUGCUUACAAACUUAUGAACUUCGCACCUCUACACUGCGAGACAUGAUGAAACACGAACAGUGUCUACUCCUACUCUGGCUCGAUGGGUUAAAUGGAUUAUGUCCCUAGCGGGCAUUGACACCUCACUCAAUACGAGGAGCGAUGGCUUCCAGGGCCUCCUCGAUUGGUUGUCAUCUUGAAGACAUUUUGAAGGCAGCCGAUUGGUCCUCAGAAUCUACCUUUCAUGACUUCUACUUUAAACCCAUUCAACACUUUUUUUUUUCUGUGUUCUGGUUUUCCCCCCUUUUUUGUGCUGCUGCUUGAUUGAUUGGGGGAGUGUUCAUUAAUUGCACCUGUGUGGGAUUGUUUCCCCACAAAGGCACACCCCUAACUCACUGAGCUUGCUCACAUGACUUGAAAGCAGCCUCUAUUAAGUAGACUCUUUCAAGUAGGAGUUAGAAAACCAGGAGUUGAAACUAACAAGGUAAUUGUUUUCAUUUUCUGUUUCUGGGGAAAUGAGUGUUAGCAAGAUUGCUGGUUUGACUCAAUGCACAUCUUGUUCCAUGUAUGGAUGCCUGGAUGUACCCAUCCAGGGUCCAUACCUCUGUGAUGGUUGUGUGCGAGUGGCUUCUCUGGAAGCUCAGAUUGGAGAUCUCGAAAAGCAAAUCGUAACUUUGAGGGAGAUUGACAAUCUUGAGAGGAGUCUGCUCACUGAGCAGAGUUUAGUGGGGACAGGUAGUGGAGAGGGAGGAGAUAAGACAGAUGGGGAACAGGCAUGUAGCUGGGUGACAGUGGGGCGAGGAAGCAGGGGGGAGGGAAGAGGAAAGGGCUAGCUAGUCCUGAUUUGGUGCAACCUAGCAGAUUUGCCCGUUUGAGGGAAGAUGUUGGGAGCAUCAGCUCAGGAGUAGCUGUAUUAGAGGAAGCUGUUACUUCUAACAGCCAAGCUAACAGCCCCCCUAGUACGGGUGGGGAUCAAAAUGUAAGGAAGGCAAGACAGGUUGUGGUGGUAGGGGACUGUAUCAUUAGGAGAGCAGAUAGGGCAAUCUGCCGCUCUGAUCGGCUCAACCGGACAGUUUGCUCUCUCCCGGGUGCUCGGGUCCGGCAUGUUGCUGACAGAGUGGAUGGAUUAUUGGGAGGGGCUGGGGAUGACCCAGCGGUCAUGGUCCAUGUUGGUACCAAUGACAAAGUAAGAGGAAGAUGGAAGGUCCUAAAGAAUGAUUUCAGGGAAUUAGGUAGCAAACUUAAGAAAAGGACCUCCAAGGUGGUAUUCUCUGAGAUAUUACCUGUGCCACGCGCUACAGUGGAAAGGCAGCGGGAGAUUAGAGAGGUCAAUGCGUGGCUUAAGUCUUGGUGCAGGAAGGAGGGUUUUGGGUUUUUAGAGCACUGGGCCGACUUUGCGAUUGGGUACAACCUUUAUAGUGGUGAUGGAUUGCACCUAAACGGGAGAGGGUCUGCAGUGCUGGGGGAUAGGAUGGCUAGAAGGUUGGAGGAGAUUUUAAACUAGUAGUAGGGGGGGGAGGGUCAUAGCAAUCUACAAAAUGGAGAUAGGACAGAAAGGAGAUGGGCUUUAGCACAGUAUAAGGGGGGUGGAGACAGGGGGAGGGGCAAGCUCAGAACAGAGAAGCUGUGUAAUGUUGAAAAUUCACAAAAUAUACAAGUGACACAUAAUAUUAAAUGUAUGCUUACUAAUGCAAGGAGCCUAAAUAACAAAAUGGGGGAACUAGAGGCAUUAGCAUACACUAAACAAUAUGAUAUAAUAGGCAUAACUGAAACAUGGUGGGAUGAGACACAUGACUGGGCAGCUAACUUAAAUGGGUACAUGUUAUUUAGGAAGGAUAGGAAAAACAAGAAGGGUGGUGGGGUAUGUUUGUAUGUCAACCAUGAUUUAAAGCCAAAUGUUAAGCAAAUGGAAUGCGAGGAGGAUAAUGUGGAAGCUUUAUGGGUAAAUAUCUGCUUGGGGGAAAAGAAGGGAAACCAACUAUUGGUUGGGAUAUGUUAUAAACCACCUAAUGUUAAUAUUGAUGAGGAACAACAGCUGUUUGAGCAAAUUGAGAAAGCUACAAAUCUGGGUAACGCUUUAAUUAUUGGAGAUUUUAAUUACCCGGAUAUAAAUUGGGACAGAGGGACUAGUACCUCAGCAAAGGGAAUUAGGUUUUUUUUUUUUUUUUUAUAAUUCUUUAUUUUGUCAAUGACAGAUAUAAUUGUGCAAUGCAGUUAUGUGGCUUGCGCAGAAGCCGCAGUAUCAUUCAGGCAGUUUACACGUUAUUCCUGUUACAUCGUUUGUGAUAAACACCUGUCUGUCAUUGUUUUUCAACAAUACAGUAAGAACAACACUUAAAAAACAUAUAACUUAAGUAGUAACUCUUAACUGGACAUUUAAGUUGCCAUCACGUUGCAGUGGCUUUGGUGUGUUGAACUUAUAGGUCGGGUUACCGGUAGGCCGGCCUUGUAUUAGGGAAAAGGGAAGUGAAAGGUAGGAAUUAACCAAGAAAGAAGAAAGUCCCAGGGUCGCAUACCUGGUGUGAAAGCCUUGUUUCGGUAUAUGGGUGUGAGAGGGGAGGUCGUAGUGGUUAGGUCGUAUUUGAGGGCGUAGGUGUCCCAUAAUUGGAUUGAGUUGGUGAUGGCUGGGCACGCCGUUCUCGGUAGCGCUCUGUGCUCUUUUGGUGUCCAGAUGUAGAAUUGUGGGAGGUCGGAUCUCAUUAAUGCUGAUUCUAGAUCUACCCACCUUCUAGUUUCUGGGGGAGUAUGCAGUUAUGUGGCUUGCGCAGAAGCCGCUAUUUGUGCCAUCUGCGUGGCUAUAUAGUAGAAAUGUAGGUGGGGUAGACCCAGGCCUCCUCUCGUUCUGGGGCGAUACAGUAUGUUGCGGGCUACUCUGUGCCUCUUAUCCUGCCAAAUAAUUCUGUCUAUCGCCCGCUGCAGAGGGAUGAGAUUGUGUUUUGUGAUAGGGAUGGGUAUGGCCUGAAAGAGGAACAGAAUUCUGGGCAGGACGUUCAUCUUGAUUGAGUGUAUUCUCCCUAUCCAGGAUAUGGGUUUGUCCGCCCAGGUCUCCAAGUCCGAGAUGAGUUUGUCUAUCAUGGGUGUGUAGUUCAGCCUGUGGAGCUCGUCGGUGUCUGCCGGUAAUUUGAUACCCAGGUAUGUGAGGGAGGUUGGGGUAACACGUAUGUGGUAGUCUGAGGUAAUUUUGUUUGUGUCCAUCCGUGUGAGGUUUAUUGGGAGUGCGCUGGAUUUUUCCUCCAUUAACUUUGUAUCCUGAGAUCUCACCGUAUUUAGUCAGGAGUGGGAGCAAUGCCUGCAGCGUGGGAAUGGGUUCAGUUAAGGUCAGCAGGACGUCAUCUGCGUAUCCCGAGACUAGGAAUUCUUGGUCAUCUAUUUUGACCCCUUUGAUUUGUGGGUGUUCCCUUAUGGCUUGGAGGAGUGGUUCAAGUGUCAGCACAAAGAGUAGGGGGGAUAGGGGGCAUCCCUGACGGGUACCGUUGGUUAUGUUAAAUGAUGGGCUAGUCGUCCCGAUUAUCUUUAUUUGUGCUGAAACGGAUGUGUAUAGUGCGCGAAUAGCUGUUAUAUAUGGGGGGGAAUGUUCAGAUAUUCUAAGAGGGUGAACAUGUAGGGCCAUUUCACGCAGUCAAAUGCUUUCUCAGCAUCGAGGGAAAGCGCUAGGGAUGGUGUUUUUUUGUUGGCUAGCAUCCAUAUUAUGUCUAUGUUACGUCUCGUGUUUUCGAAUAGUUGUCGUCCAGUUAUGAAUCCUACUUGGUCGGCGUGGACUAGGUUUGUCAGGUAUGGGUUCAGUCUUCCUGCUAAGAUUUUGGCAAAGAUUUUGCUGUCGUGGUUUAUGAGUGAGAUAGGUCGAUAUGCUUCUGGUUGGGUGUGGUCUUUGCCCGGUUUUGGUAGCAGAAUAAUGUUUGCCCGUGUCACGUCCCUGUCUGGCGGGGUUCCCGUCAUUAGUUCUUGGAAUAAGGAUUCUAAAUGUGGGAUGAGUGUUUCUCUAAAGGUUUUGUAGUAGCUGCCUUCAAAACCGUCUGGGCCAGGGGCUUUAUUGCUUUUAAGAGAGGAGAUAGCUAUGUUGAUUUCAUCUUUAGUGAUUGGUGCUGCUAGUUCCGUUAUGGCUGCAGUGUGUAGUUUUGGUAAGUUUAGUUGGGUGAGGAAGUCAGUUGUUUUCUGUUUCGUCGCUGUGAUUGUUGUGUCAUCUUGGGGGGAAUGGUUGUAUAGCGUUGUAUAAAAGGUUGAGAAAGUUUGUGCUAUUUCAGUUGGGGAUGUUUUCAGUGAGCCGUCUAGGGCUCUUAUCUUGGUGAUAUGUGGGUGUUGGGUUCUGGGUCUUAGUGUGCGGGCUAAUAGUGUGUCCAUUUUAUUGGAUUUGUCAUAGUAUGUUCUUUUCGUCCAAGUGAGUGCUCGGGCUGUGUCGUCUAUGAGCAGUUGUCUGAGAUUGAUGCGGGUGGUUUGGAGGAGUUGUAAUGUGUGGGGGGUCGGGUCGGUUUUGUGACGUUGCUCCGCUGUGCGGAGGGUUUCUAACAGUUGGGUAAGUUUCUGCGUUUUUUGUUUCUUUUUGUAGGUUGCUAAGGGAGCCUCGAAUCACUGCUUUGUGGGCCGCCCAUACCUUGGUCAUGGGGAGUUCUGGUGUUAGGUUUUCUGCAAAGUAUGUGGUUAGCUGUUUCUGUAUGUCGUCUACGACUUGGGGGUCCUUAAGGAGGGAUGUGUUUAGCCUCCACGUCCAUGGGGUAGGGCAUUGGAUGCCUUGGAGAUGGAUCGCGAUGUCCGCGUGGUCUGACCAUGCGAUGGUUCCUAUCUCCGUUUUUUGUGUUUUUGCGUAGCCUGCAUGAUUGGUUAAGAACAUGUCUAUGCGUGAGUAUGUGUCGUGGGGCGGCGAGUAAUACGUGUAGUCCUUAACAGAGGGGUGUUGAGCCCUCCAUGCGUCAAUGAGGCCUGUCUUACGGAUAAAGUGGUGUAAUUGUUUGUCUUGUGCGCCCAUGCCAUGAGACCUAAAUAGUCCUGGGCGUGCGCUUCUGUCUAUUGCUGGAGCUGGGGUUGCGUUUAGGUCUCCUCCCAGGAGGAUUAUCCCGGUGGGGAGCGAAAGGACUACGUCUGACAUCUGGUUCCAGAAUUGGGGUGUAAGUGUGUUGGGGGCAUAGAUGUUGAUUAAGUGGAUAGGUUGGGAAUGAAUCCUGCCUGUGUCUAGGACGUAUCUACUGUCUGGGUCUGAAGUCACUCGGGCUAUAUGAAUUGGGCAUCGUUUGUGUGUAAGAAUCGCCACUCCGUUCUGUUUACGGAAGGUUCGUGCCUCUGCGGCCAAGCGGUAUGUGUUGUCUCAGAGGGAGACCUGGGCGGACCGAGACAGGUGUGUCUCCUGUAUGAAAGCUAUGUCAGGGUUUAAUCUUUUUAGCUCCCUAAACAGUGUUCUUCGCUUGCGAGGGGCGUUGAGGCCUUUAACAUUGAGCGAGGAUACCUUAAGAGCCAUAAUCUAGAGGUUUCGGUGAGCGUUUUUUGUCCUGCUGGACGGUCGGGUGGCUGUAGUAAUUCAUUGCGGUUUGACUGGUGUAUUUGUGCAGUGGGGUGUGGGGUUGACUCCCACCUCCGUUCCUUUGGGUCACUGUGUGGGUGUGGGAUUGGGGAUGUGAACGUUGCGCCUCUACCUUCGUCCAAGACCUAUGAGGGCAUGGGGUGGGUGGGGAGUAUAGGGGGGGCAGGUGAGUACAGAACAUCACAUAACAAUACAUAUCAAAGCUGCAUCCUCAACCUUUACGAUUAUAUCAUCCUCCUUAGGUUGUCCCUGUGCCCCGAAAUUCCAGUGUCCCGCACCCAGCCCCACGCCCCCCCAGCCCAGCACCCAUCCCCCGCCCUCCCCCCCGCCACGGCCAGUGAAUUCGUGUUGUCUAGGUGUGUGCUUUCUCUGCGUGUGGUGUGGUCCCUGUCGUGGAGCUUGGUCUCUGUGUGGUAUGGUUGUGUAGCGAGUUGAUGUCUAGAGCAGUGAGUUGUAUUUGUCGUGGUGUGUGUGCCCUGGGUGGCUGUUAUGUUACUUCACAUAAGUGUCACAUAUAUACUUUACAUUUCCAGCUGGUGACUAAGGUGCGAUAUCUUUGGACUGGUACUUGCUGUGGUGUCAAGAUGAUAGCAAUAGUCUCUGGACAAGUCCAUAGUGUGGGUUAUCGUUGAUGCUGUUGACGGGAUGGAUGUCGUGUGGGCAGUGGAGGUCCUUGAUGCUCCUGGAUCAUGUGUUGGUUGUGGUCCAUUGAGCUGUGCAUGCAGCAGGGGUAACUUCGGAGCAGGAGUCCAUCAUAGAGAGGGGCAUCGUCCCUGGGUGUUGCCGUUUCAUUCCGCCCAGUGGGUGGAGAGUCUCCGUUGUUCUGUUGCCUGGAGGUCUGUUUCUGGUGGGUGCUGAGGGGUGGGUAGGGUGUUGUGGUGUUGACGGAUGGGGUCUGGUGUACUCGUUCCUGGGAGGUUGGUUCUGCCUUGGUUGUGGGUGUCCGUCUGCCGACUGUUUACUCCGCGGCGGUGUACCAAUCGCGCGGUAGGGGUUGUAGGGCCGGGAGAGCGGUGUUUGGCAGCGAGAAGUUCUCUGGUAUUGAGAUGCCCAAUGCGCGAAGGAAGGGUAUGGGGUCCGUGCCUGGUGUGAGGAUAUGGGGUCUGCCAUGCUUAAAGACCAGUAAUUUAAAGGGAUGUCCCCAGGCGUACCUUAUUGCGUUGGUCUUGAGAAGCUCUGUGACUGGCUUCCACUCCCUUCUGUGUUGGAGGGUGAUGGGGGCCAAGUCUUGGAAAAGGGAGAUUUCAACAUUCUUGUAUUUUAGGGGGCUUUCUCUAGCUUUCCUCAUCACCGCUUCCUUCGUCUGGAAGUGGAGAAAGCGGACUAUGAUGUCCCUGGGUCUUGUGUUGUCGUCUCUCCGGGCGCGCAAGGCCCUGUGGGCCCGAUCAAUGUGCCACUGCUCGUCCGGUAUCUCUGGUGAGAAAGGUCGUAGGAGUGCGAGGAGCAUGGGGGCGAUUGGGCCUUCGUCCUGUUGCUCUGGUAGGCCGCGCACGCGGAUAUUAUUGCGGCGCGACCUAUUUGCCAGGUCCUCGAGCGCCGCCUCCGAGGCUUCUAGUCUGGCGGUGAGUGUGUUCACAUGUGCGGCCACCGUGUUGUGGGCCACCGCGGUCGUUUCCACGCGUUGCUCCAGGUCGGCAGUACGCUCCCCCAGCUUGUGGAUUUCUGACAUCACUGCCUUAGAGCUCCUAUCGAUCUCACGGGCGAGGUCGUUUUUUACCGCUGCCAGCUCUGUCAGUAUGUGGGCUGUUUCUGAUGCGGUUGAGCCUUGGGUCUGAGGUGGGCUCGAGUUUGCUGGUGAGCCAGGGGCUCGCAGGCUGUAUCCGCCGCCAUCUUGUGUGUCCUGGCACGGCGUGCGGGAGGCCGCGAAAAGUUCAGGUACCGUGGUGGCCGUGGUGGCCGUGUCUGCGUGUUUUUUGGCCGGUUUUCUCGGCAGGCGCUUGUCCAUGGUGAGUUAGGAGUCGGGAUGGGUGGGUUUUUCGUGGGUUUUUUGCGUUUGUAAGCAUUUGGAACAGGGGUUCAGCGAGGAGCUCUAGGCUUGCACGUCCAGCUCGGUUCCCGGUCAAGCCACGCCCCCCGGGAAUUAGGUUUUUAAACUUGUUAAAUCGGACAAAUCAGUUGCAUCUUAUAAAAGAUAUAAGGAAGCAAAUAAUGCGUGCAAAAAGGCAAUUAGACUUGCUAAACUUCAAAAUUAAAUAAUGAUAGCUAAAGAGAGCAAAACCAACCCCAAAGCAUUUUUUAAGUACAUAAAUUCUAAAAAAAAACAAAAUGAAAGUGUAGGCACACUAAAAACUGAAACAGGGGUGUUAGUUAAUGAAGACCAAGAAAAGGCAGGAAUUUUAAAUAACUAUUUCUCCUCCGUAUAUAUUAAGGAAGAACCCAUGGCAAUAGAUGUGCAAAUGAUUGCAACUAAAAACUUGCAGAAUAAUUGUAAUUGGUUAACUCAAGACAAGGUGCUGCAGCAACUAAAGAAAGUUAAUAUAAACAAAGCUCCAGGGCCUGACGGUAUCCAUCCACGUCUACUUAAGGAACUAAGUGUAGAAAUAAGUGAACCUCUGUUUUUUUUUCCAAUAUCUUAAUUUUUCCAAUAUCUUAAUUUUUAUUAGUUUUUUGUGGUGUCGCGACAGCGACAAAAAAAAAGGGGGAUACAGAAAGGAAGAAGGGGAGGGGGUAACAUUGUAUAGACACAAUCAAAUAUUACAGUACAUAUAUAGUGAAUGGCUAACAUUGUAUAGUGAUUUGGGUUUGAUCCAAGUUGGUCUAGGCACGACAAAGUGUAUCAGGUAUUUUCGGACCUGUCUUGGGGGCCCUGUUGAUACUCGCUUGUUUGAACCUCUGUUUUUAAUCUUUCAAGAUUCUUUUCUUUCAGGAAGUGUUCCGGAGGAUUGGAGGAAGGCAGAUGUGGUUCCUAUAUUCAAAAAGGGUUCAAAAUCUUUGCCUGGAAAUUAUAGACCUGUGAGCUUAGCUUCUGUGGCUGGUAAAAUAUUUGAAAGGUUAUUAAGGGAUAAUAUUCAAGAAUUCCUUGAGAAGAACAUGGUUAUCAGCAAAAAUCAGCAUGGUUUUAUGAAGCACAGUCAUAUCAAACUAACUUGAUUGCGUUCUACGAAGAAGUAAGUAGAAGUAUAGAUCAGGGUGUUGCCGUGGAUGUGAUCUAUUUGGAUUUUGCCAAGGCAUUUGAUACAGUUCCACACAAAUAGAUUAGUUUUCAAACUCAAGGAAAUCGGUCUAGAUGAAAAUGCUUGUUCUUGGGUAGAACUUGGCUUAAAAACAGAGUACAAAGAGUUGUCAUUAAUGGUACAUUUUCAAGCUGGACAGAGGUGGCAAGUGGUGUCCCUCAGGGGUCUGUUCUGGGACCCCUUCUAUUUAACAUGUUUAUAAAUGAUCUUGAAGACCGCAUUGAAAGUCAUGUUUCAGUGUUUGCAAAUGACACAAAACUUUGUAAAACAAUACAAUGUGAGCAAGCUAUUACUUUGCUGCAGAUGGAUUUAGAUAGACUGGGGGACUGGGCACUCAAAUGGCAGAUGAAAUUUAAUGUUGAAAAAUGCAAAGUUAUGCACUUCGGCGUAAAGAAUACACAUGCAACGUAUACCCUUAAUGAAAGCGAAUUAGGGAUAACAACACACGAAAAGGACUUGGGAAUUGUUAUAGACAACAAACUAUGCAACAAUGUGCAAUGUCAAUCAGCAGUGGCCAAGGCCAGUAAGGUAUUGUCAUGCAUGAAAAAGGGCAUUCAUUCUCGGGACGAGAAUAUAAUUUUGCCUCUUUAUAAAUCACUGGUAAGACCCCAUAUUGAAUAUGCUGUGCAAUUUUGGGCACCUGUUCUAAAGAAGGAUAUUAUGGCACUAGAAAAAGUGCAGAGGCGGGCUACAAAAUUAAUAAAAAGGAAUGGAACAUAUCGGCUAUGAAGAAAGGUUAACAAAUUUAAACCUAUUUAGUUUAGAAAAACGUCGCCUGAGAGGGGAUAUGAUAACAUUAUACAAAUAUAUUUGGGGCCAAUACAAACCAUUGUGUGGAAAUCUAUUCACAAACCGGACUUUACAUAGGACACGAGGCCAUGUGUUUAGACUGGAAGAAAGAAGAUUUUGUCUAAGGCAAAGGAAAGGUUUUUUUACUGUAAGAACAAUCAGGAUGUGGAAUUCUCUGCCUGAAGAAGUGGUUUUAUCAGAGUCCAUACAGAUGUUCAAACAGCUACUAGAUGCAUACUUGCAAGAACAGAAUAUUUAAGGAUAUAAUCUUUCAAUGUAGAUAAAUCUGACUGCCAUUCUGGGGUCAAGAAGGAAUUUUUUUUCCUAGCUUGUUGCAAAAUUGUGCUUCAAACUGGGUUUUUUUGCCUUCUUUUGGAUCAACAGCAAAAAACAAAUGUGAGGUAGGCUGAACUUGAUGGACGCAAGUCUCUUUUCAGGUAUGUAACUAUGUAACUUUGCGGGAACGGUAAUCUCUAGUUUUAAUCCAGCAUAAUAGGAGCCUCUGUGUCUAUUAACAUGACGUAAAGUCACGAUUUUAUUAACGACACGGAGGCGAGUAUUAUCCCUCCCGCCCAUCCCAUGGAAGGAUGGAAUAUGGGUAAGUUAAUUUCACGGUAAGUCCUAUUAGUCAUGGAAUUUUCUGCAGGUUACGCUUGACAAUACUUCACUUAACCACAAUGGCUUAAGAGAAUUAAAAUUGUAUUAUGACGAUUACGAUUUAUGCGUACACCCAGUUUGGUACUAGGAUCUUACCAUAUUUCUCCUUGUCUUACAGCCUAACCUACUUCAGAUCGUUGGGGAUACCCCUUGUUACACGGUCCCUUCUUUCUUUCGGUUGGAUGAUUAUACUGCUUCGGGAUCGCAAAGAAAGAGGCAUUGGAUUGGUUGACAGAGCCUAUUAUGCUGGAGAGCAGAAUCCGAUUGGCUGUUCCUGUUGCUAAGAAGAUACUCACCUCAGACUGUUUACUGUUACUACUGGU